GACAGAGGGUGCAAACGUUGUUCGGAAUUACUGGGCGUAAAGCGCGUGUAGGCGGCUUGGCAAGUCGGGUGUGAAAGCCCUGGGCUCAACCUAGGAAGUGCACUCGAAACUGCCUCGCUGGAGUGCCGGAGAGGAAAGCGGAAUUCUCGGUGUAGAGGUGAAAUUCGUAGAUAUCGAGAGGAACACCGGUGGCGAAGGCGGCUUUCUGGGCCCUACCUGACGCUGAGACGCGAAAGCGUGGGGAGCGAACCGG
rnacentral:rRNA from 1 species